rnacentral:rRNA from 1 species
UACGUAGGGGGCUAGCGUUGUCCGGAAUUAUUGGGCGUAAAGAGCUCGUAGGCGGUUUGUCGCGUCUGCUGUGAAAACCUAAGGCUCAACCUUGGGCUUGCAGUGGGUACGGGCAGACUAGAGUGCGGUAGGGGCGACUGGAAUUCCUGGUGUAGCGGUGGAAUGCGCAGAUAUCAGGAGGAACACCGAUGGCGAAGGCAGGUCACUGGGCCGCAACUGACGCUGAGGAGCGAAAGCAUGGGGAGCGAACAGG